rnacentral:rRNA from 1 species
CCUACGGGACGCAGCAGUGGGGAAUAUUGCGCAAUGGGCGAAAGCCUGACGCAGCGACGCCGCGUGAGGGAUGAAGGUCUUCGGAUCGUAAACCUCUGUCAGCAGGGAAGAACGGUCACUGUGCUAAUCAGCAGUGAAUUGACGGUACCUGCACAGGAAGCAUCGGCUAACUCCGUGCCAGCAGCCGCGGUAAUACGGAGGGUGCGAGCGUUAACCGGAAUUAUUGGGCGUAAAGAGAUCGCAGGCGGUAUGUUAAGUCUAGGGUGAAAUCCCCGGGCUCAACGUGGGAACUGCCUUGGAAACUG